UUUUCUUUUGAUGAAUUUCACAGAUUGAGUAAUCAAAUGGAGUUGGAGGCAGCAAUAGAGGCUGCAGCUGACUUCCAUGGUAACAUGAGUGUCUAAAAAUACAAGUACUAUGUGAGCAAAUUUUUCUACUGCCAAGUUAGCAAGGGGAUGAAAUUUGUAAGAGGUGAAACUGCAGCGUUGAGCAGAGUAUAUGAAUACUUUUGGAAGAAGCUGAAGAGCCAGGAGAAUUAUUCUUACAUGGUGGUUAUAUCUACUAGUUCUUCUCCUUCCUAUACAAGAGUUGAUAUCAGUAUUUCUUUUGGGGGUUUUAUGAAAAGCAGGUUUUACUUUCAUGCUUUUUCUUCAUCUAAUUUUUUCACUUAUUUUCCUAUGCAUAUUUAGAAGUGGUCUAAAUUAUUAGAGUUAAUUAGUGGGUUGAAGAACAUGUCUCAGUUUAUAUAAGAACUCUUUUCAUAAAUAUAUUUAACAAAAAUGUAGUGACACUGCCACCGAAAGAGGGUUUUGUCACUCAUCCUUACAAGAGCUCAAGGUAACUAAUAAUAAUAAAUAGCAUCCUUGUAAUUUAUAUAUGGAAGUUAGUUAAUCAAGUAGUAUUGGCUGCAAAUUCAAAGAAAUUAAAGCACUAACUAUUUGAAUUGCUGAUACACGUGGCAGAGAAGUAUGACAAAAAAGGCAAGAGGUAUUGGGAUGUCUUCGACAAGU